rnacentral:lncRNA from 1 species
ACUGGAGAGAAACCUUAUGAAUAUUAUGAAUGUGGGAAAGCUUUUAUCCAGAAAUGUAUUAAGUACCAAAGAUUUAAUAUCUCAUGAAUACAGAAAGUAUGAGAAAACCUUUGCACAGAGCUCACACCUAAUUCAGCAUCAAAAAAUUCAGUGGAAAGAAGUCAUAAGUAUGUAAUUACUGUGGAAGAGCUUUCCAUUCAAAAUCACACCUUAUUCAGCAGCAGAUAAUUCACAGUAGAGAAAAGGCCCGUGAAUGCAAUCAAUGUGGAAAGCCUUCAAUUGGAGCUCAGCACUUGCUAAAAAUCAGAUAAUUAACACUGGAGUGAAACCUAAUGGAUGUAAUGAAUGUGGGAAAACUUUCAUCCAGAGUUUAAAUCUUAUUCUGUCAGAGUUCAUGCUGAGAGAAACCAUAUGAAUGUAAAUGAAUGUGGAAGAGCCUUUAGUUACAGGUCACACCUUAUUUCACAUCAUAGGAUCCACACAGGAAAUAAGCCAUAUGAAUGCAAGGAAUUUGGCAAAAAUUCCCAUCCAAAUUUGUACCUUAUUUGACAUCAGGAUAUUCAUCACAGAGAGAAAUUACAGGAGUGUAAUGAAUGUGGGAAGGUGUUUGGUCAGAAUCCAACCCUUGUUAUACAUCAGCAGAUUCACAUUGGAAUGAAAUCUGAUAACUACAGUAAAUGUAGGAAAGUUUUUUUGUAGAUUCAUAGCCCCUGCAGAACCUAAGGCAGUUCCAGGUAAAGAGAAACCCUAUGGGUACAGUGAAUAUGGGAAGACCAUACAGAAUUCAUACCACUUUCUGGAUCAAAAAGAAUCAAAGAAGAGACAAAGCCUAUGAAUCUCAUGCAUGUGCAAAAACCUUAUAUUAUGUGUCAAAACUUAUUAAGUAUCAGGGUAUGUAGUCUUUAAUAGUUUAGAGCCUGUUCAGUAGCAGAAAAUCCACUCUAUCAAUAAACUUUAUGAACAUAAAUACUGUGACAAAGUCUUCAGGCUAAUUUUAAGUUUAAAAAAUCAGGCUUUAUCAUAGAAAAAA